UUACGGUCAAAUCACGCUGAAACACCGGUUCUCGUACGAUCGUACUGAAGUUAAGCAGCGUAGAGCCAGGUCAGUACUUAGAUGGGGGACCGCUUGGGAUCACCUGGUACUGUAAG
rnacentral:rRNA from 1 species